AUCUUUCUAAAGCUCUGAUCAGUCAAGAAGGGGGUUGUAUCAAUCCUCAGAACCCUGAGUGGAACUUUCUAAAGGAUUUAUUAGGAGAAAAACCUUCCCGGAAGCUGCAGAAGGACAAAUACAGAAUCUGUGUGUGGGAGAAACCUCGUGGCCUGGUCUCCAUUAUUUGAGAUGAGUUACAUCUUGGAGGUGAGGACGUGCCUCGUGGUCUAAAGCUUCGGCACAAGGGCCCAACUGGAAUUCCACUUACAGGCCUGAUCUUUUGGCCAGAAGGAGAUUAAAAGGAUGCCCCUCAAGAUGGCUGUGCCUGUCAGCUGCAUGGAGCUUCGUUCAAGUAUUUUCUGAGCCUGAUGGAUUUACAGUGAUCUUCAGUGGUUUGGGGAAUAACGCUGGUGGAACCAUGCACUGGAAUGACACACGUCCGGCACAUUUCAGGAUACUAAAAGUGGUUUUAAAGGAGGCCCUGGCUGAAUGCCUCAUGGAUUCUUACAGCUUGGAUGUCCAUGGGGGACGAAGGACCGCAGCUGGCUGUGAGGGUUGAGAUCUCUGUUUACUUAGAUCUCUGCCAACUUCCUUUGGGUCUCCCUAUGGAAUAUAAGACCCCGACUCUUCCUGGUGAAGCAU
rnacentral:lncRNA from 1 species